GGGCCGCCCCCUCAGGCCCAGUUUCCCAGUCACUCCUCCUGGGGCCCGCCCCACACAGCCGAGGGCCGGGCCCAACAGUUCAGAGACAGCACGCCCUCCUCAUGGUGCCACUGCCCCUGCUUUGGUGUUCCCUCCACAAGCGGAGCCCGCAGUUCCCCAAGACGCUGGCUUCACCUUCCCUGUGCCUGCAAGUCAAGAACCUCAGCUCCUCGUGCUCCCCCACGCUCGCUGGAUGGGAACUUAUGGACGAAGCACCCGUCGGGGGGCUCUCAGGAGGACUCCCCGCACCUGGGCCCACCCACCUGCCCAGCCCCGGCCCAGCCCCGGACCCACGAGGAGAAGAGCUUGGUGCCAUCCAGCAGGGAGCAGUUGUAAUGGUAGCGAACGAAGUCCCCGGGUUUGGCCGUCUCAUUGCAGGUCUCCUGGGGCGGGGACAGAAUCUUGAUUUCCACCGGAUCCCCAGGGUUGUGGAAGUCAAUGACGUGGACGUCGAAGAUCAGCACAGCGGAGCCAGGGAUCUUGUCUCCUGGGGCCAGAACGGGGAGUGGAUCGGCUUGGAAUCCAGGAGGGGCUACUCAGGCCUCCACAGAGGCUCCUAGACUCCCACGCCCUAUGUUUUCAAACCAGGAUGGGACAGGGUAUUUGUCCCCAGGGAGUCCCCCGGACCUGGAAUCAAAGAGGGUGCCGUCCAUCAGCGAGCCGUUGUAGUGGUAACGCAUGAAGUCUCCAGCCACAGCUCUCCGGACGCAGCCAGGAGGUAGCUCCAGCGUCUCCAGCUGGACGGUGUCCUUGGGGUUGUGGACGUCAAUCAGCAGCACGUGGAAGACCAGGGAGGCCUGCGGGGGGAUCACAGUCCCUGGGGAAGGGAUAGGCUUGAACCAUACAAGUGGAGAGCAAAGCAGGGCUCCUCCUCCACUCAGGAAGGCCCAUGUGAGCACCCUGCAAAAAGGUGCUAAUUCUGCUCUCCAGAGACCCUUCCCUACCCUCAGCAGCCCUGUUUCUUGCUCCCCCUGUGAGGUGUGAGCUGGAUCUUCCCCAAGGCCAUCACCAGCCCAUACUGAAUGCGUGUGUGAAUCAGAAUAAAGCACCCUUUCUUGGUGAGAUCAUCACCAAGAUAGAGUUCA